rnacentral:lncRNA from 1 species
ACAAAAUGUUCAUCAAGAGAAAAUAAAUAAUUGUGUUGACAGAACUUUUAACAUUGCACAAAAAAUAUUAUGUUGGCCGAGCAAAAGGGAACAGCGUCAAUCAUCUGAGCAUGCGCAAAGGAGUUCUAUCAGGCGCCUCCUGGAAUUUCCCCCACCACGAGUCACGACAUUGCAGUGGUGAGUGCUUUGUGCUGCGAGGUAAUGAGCAAAUUUAGGUUAAGAAUAUAUCUAUUGUCUGUCAACAAGUUUGAAAUAGUCUUUAUUGUGAGUACCUACAGUGAUUAGCAGUGCUGGAAAUCACGUUUAACUCAUAAAGCUUAGCUAUUCCCAAAUUCCAUUUGCAUUUUGUACUGACAUUCUUCUAAAUAUCUUCCUUUCUGUUCAGCAGAAGAAAGAAAUUCAUACAGGUUUGAAACAACAUGAGGGUGAGUAUAUGAUGACAGAACUUUCAUUUUUCUGUGGAGUAUCUCUUUAAGGGAUCUGCAGACUUGCUGCACUUGUUAGCUGAUUAUCCCUCUCAGAUUGUAAUCUUAAUGUAUUUCAGGUAACUAUUUCAUGAAGUUGGUUGUAAUGAAGCCCGAUGGUGAAAAGAGUAGUUGAUCCUAAACUGUCGGUAGAGUAGAUGUGUAACCUCUUUGUUAAUUAAGUGACUUAAUAAUGUCUUAUUGAUGACCUGUCUUUUUGGCAGACCACAGAUCUAACUACUUAUAGAAGGUCUGCUGUUCUUCGUGGUCUUCCCCUGUACUUGAGAGAGCCAGCUUCAAUUUCAAAGACUAUUAAGGAUACUGAGGCACUGGGGCCACACACAAAGGCCAUGAAAAUGGGGAUCCUGGAAGGGACUGACAGUUCUACCAACUCAGGACCAUAUCCCACAGUGGUCAAUGUGGCUGUAGUACUGGAGGAGGAAGUUUUACUGAAUUUCAUUUUGUAAAGCAGAUAUUUGUUUUUCCACUGGUUGAAUACUUGUGUAAUAUUUUACUUGCGCCUAACAGGCAAGUUCAUAUGUACUUAAAUAAAUACAUAAAAUGUUCUUUAUCAAAGCAUAGUGUGUAAUUUAUUUGAAAUAAUGAAAAAUAGACUAUUUUGGUCAACAUUAAUGAAAAAUAGACUUAUUGGCCAACAUUAAAUAUUUAAUACAACAUUUUAUUUCAAUUUGAGUCUGCUUGUUGGCCCAACAAGCUAUGUUUAGUCAACAGAAAUAUUUAAUUGACACAACAUUCUAUUUCAAGUUCAGUCUACAUGCAGGGGUAGUCAGCACAACACAAAAAAGUUGGUUUCCGCAACUUUAAAUCGGGCAAACUAAAAAUUUUAGGUGCAACGGGUCACUAGAAAUUUUUUAUGUUG